CAGUAGCCACGGGAAUACGAAGGGGGCUAGCGUUGCUCGGAAUGACUGGGCGUAAAGGGCGCGUAGGCGGAUCACGCAGUCAGAUGUGAAAUUCCUGGGCUUAACCUGGGGGCUGCAUUUGAGACGCGUGGUCUAGAGUGUGAAAGAGGGUCGUGGAAUUCCCAGUGUAGAGGUGAAAUUCGUAGAUAUUGGGAAGAACACCGGUGGCGAAGGCGGCGACCUGGUUCAUAACUGACGCUGAGGCGCGAAAGCGUGGGUAGCAAACAGGAUUAGAUACCCCCGUAGUCCCUGUCUCUUAUAC
rnacentral:rRNA from 1 species